AGGGGUGGACGCUGGCGGGUGCUACACAUGCAAGUUAACGAGAAGCCCGAUUCGAUCGGGUGGAUAGUGGCGAACGGGUGAGUAACACGUAACGGACCUGCCCCAGAGAGUGGGACAACGGGUGGAAACACGCGCUAAUACACAUAAGCUCACGUGCUUUAGAAAAGCGUGAGAAAAUGCUCAGGUGCUUUGGGAGGGCGUUGCGGUCCAUCAGCUAAUUGGUGAGGUAGUGGCUCACCAAAGCGACGACGGAUAGGGGACCUGAGAGGGUGACCCCCCAAACUGGGACUGAUACACGGGCCAGACUCCUACGGGAGGCAGCAGUGAGGAAUAUUGCCCAAUGGACGCAAGUCUGAGGCAGCGACGCCGCGUGGGUGAAGAAGGUUAUCGAAUCGUCAAGACCUUUUCUAGGUGACGAGAACGGACGGUAACCUAAGAACAAGUGUCGGCUAACUACGUGACAACAGGCGCGGUACAACGUAUGAAGCAAGCGUAAUACGGAGUUACAGGGCGUAAAGAGCAUGAAAGCGGAAGGGGAAAUAAACUAUGAAAGCUUACGGGUAAAACUGGAAGAAGCUCAGUGAAACUGCCGAAAUAACAAGUGAGAGAGGGAUGUGGAAUUCCCGAGUGUGUGGUGAACAGCGGUGAGAUCUGGAGGGACACAAGUAGGAGAAAGGGAAAUCCUGGAGUACCAC
rnacentral:rRNA from 1 species